rnacentral:rRNA from 1 species
UACGUAUGGUGCAAGCGUUAUCCGGAUUUACUGGGUGUAAAGGGAGCGCAGGCGGCGCGUUAAGCCUGGUGUGAAAGCCCGCGGCCCAACCGCGGGACUGCAUUGGGAACUGGCGCGCUGGAGUGCCGGAGGGGUAGGCGGAAUUCCUAGUGUAGCGGUGAAAUGCGUAGAUAUUAGGAGGGACACCAGUGGCGAAGGCGGCCUACUGGACGGUGACUGACGCUGAGGCUCGAAAGCGUGGGGAGCAAACAGG